UCCCUGGUGGCUUACGGGUUAAAGAGUCUGCCUGCAAUGCAGGAGAUCCAGGUUCAAUCCCUGGCUUGGGAA
rnacentral:tRNA from 1 species